CCACGUCACCCCCCUUAACCUCAUGCACGUGUUUUUCUAAUCUUUUCUAUAACAAAAAGGAAGAAAACAAAAAAAAAAAAAGAGGGUCCCCACAGAAGAUGUCAUAUCCCUGACCAUUUUAUCAUAUAAAAUAUAUAAACACCUUCUUCUCACAGAAACGUGGGGACCUCCAUAGACCUUCAUGGAAUGAAAUAAGGGGAACCCAUGUGCAUACAAGACCUUCCCAGAAUACCCACCCAUAAACAAAAUUUUCCACCCAGCAACAUGAUUGAACAGACAUACCCUUUUCUUCAUAUAUCAAUACAUACACAUCAGGGAUAAAAUGAAAAAGGAGAUACUCAAUCACUUGAUUCUCUUUCAUUCACCACCGUACACCCAUAUACUACACUCAAAAAUCUCGCACACACACACACAUAUCAAACAGAGAGACAGGUGGAGAGUAGCGAAGGGAGAGAGAGACUAGAUCGAGAGGCACUGUGGGUUAGCACUUUCAGGCGAACUCAUCGCCAAAGGGACUGAUUUGGUCAUUUUCUGUUUCUAUGGGCUAAAAAUCCACUACGUUCCGAAUACAUUCUAAAAUCCCUAUAUUCCUCUUUGAUUUCUGAGUUGGAUCCGUCAGAAAACAACAAGGUUCAUUGGAAACCAUCUCGGGUUGUCGUUCUCUGCAUUCAUCUCAGCUCAUCGGAGCUUAAGCCACAUUAUUUUAGUCUUUAUUCUACAUUUCUGAGGCUUUGGGUUCGUCUUCCUCUCGGUUCAUUUUCGAUACCGUGCAUUGGGGUUUUUUUAGGUUUGUCUGAUUUUGUAUUCUAUCAUCGGGAUCGAGCUUUGGGGAUUCAUCGAUUUUUUCCUGUUUUGGGUUUUUAUUCUUGGUUGAAAUCAGAUCAGUUGGUACUCUUGGAUUAUUGGUUUGGUGAGUUCGUUGUUGGGGUUCCGUGUUGGAGGCUUUCGGUCUCGGACUUCUUUAUUAUCUAUGAGAACGUUCUAUUGAGGUCCAUUUUUUUAACCCGUUCUUUUCUUCAUUUUGAUUGAUUGCAUUGUCUAUGGUUACGUGUUGGUUGAUUAUGAUGACUUGAUUUCAUUGAUAUGAUUUGGUUGUUUAAAUUCGUUACUAAAAUGAGCAUGGAUUGUUGAAAUGGUGAUUGCUAUUUGUGGCGUUUAGAAUGGAUUUGGGUCAGAAAUCAAAAAUUGAUAAAAGUGAAUAUUAUGGUAUUUUGAUUCAUUGUUGAUGUUGAACGUUAUAUGUCAUCGAGCGGGUAGGCAAACGAUAGGCUCGGGUAGGCAAAAUUUAAAAUUGGUGGAUUGUUGGAAUGUUUGGAAUAUUUGUUGGAUGUUUCCUAGUUUAUCGCAUGAAAUUGACAUUGUAUUCAUUUGCCGGGGAAUGCCCCAAAGGAAUUGUAUUUGUUCACCGGGGAAUACCCCAAUGUACUAUGUUGGUGGAAGGCGUUCGAGAGGAAGGCCCGAGGCGUCGGGUAAAGCGCGGGAGCAUAUUUAGUAUUAGUAUAGAUUAGAUAGGAUUUAUCUUAGCAUUUUUCUAUUUUGGACUGUAUAAAUUGGACUGGACACUAUAUUUUGAUUCGUUUUGUUUUGUCUAUUUGUUUGCUUGUUUUACGUGUUUUGUAUGGUUUGUACAUUCAUAGUGUCUAAUUAGCCGUUACGCUCCACCAAACGACCAUGGUCGAACCAUGGGAUCGAGGGGUGCCUAACACGUUCCCCUCAGUCAAUAGAAUUUCUUAGACGGAAUCUCUGUUUGCAAAUCAGUUUUAUAAGAGUCAAAACAAUUUUGAAAAGGAUUUUCCAAAGGUGACUUGGCACACCAAAUUAUGUCAAUUGGCGACUCUGAGUUUAAAUGUAAAUAAUCCUUUUCGAAACAAAAUCUUCAUUUUUUUCACUUUGAUAAUAAAAACCCUUUCAAACUUUAAAAUAAAAUUAAUUUUUUUGGAGUUAAAAAAGGGGUGUGACAGAUCUAGUGACUCUGUUGGGGACUUUACAGAAUUUGAGCUUAUUUUGGAGUUGUAUCGUCUUAGUUUGGCACUAUAGGUGUAUAGACAUUUUUUUGUGUUGUUUUGUGUUAUUGUUUAUCAUUGUUGAGUUCCUGCAUGCUCUUUGUUCACAGUUUUUACUUUAUAUGUUACCGCUUUAUAUCUGGCAUCAUGUGCAUAACACAAGUCUUUCUUUCUGCAACAAGUCCAUAGUACACAUGUGUACACGACCUAUAGUUGAGUCACCCUUAUUUUAGGAGGGGGAGCUGUUGGGUUGUAUGGAGUAGGUGGACAGCUAAAGCAAUCCACUAUCGACCAUAUGCUCCCCCGAACACCUUAUUAGUGGACCCCAGCGUAGGUCGGCCUUUAGGUCAUGCUUAUCUGCAUCAUAUUGAGAUCUAGCGGGACCCACGUGGACCUUUGUAGGAGACUCACCUCUAAAGCAUCCAUACGUGCUAAACGUUGCAUCUUUGAGGGUAACGUGGUCAUUUGACGGACUGAUUUGGGGAAAGCAGGUGUUAGAAGUAAAGGACGUACGCAAGAAUUGUUGAAAAAAAUAGAUGAACAAGUGAGUCGAAAAGAAAAAAAAGAGUUUCGUAGUUCUUAGAGUUUUUUUAUGGCUUUUGUUUUUCACAAUUCAAAAAUUCAAAAAGAUUUUUUUUAAACUUUCGCACUCAUUUUCUCAAAAACAUCAAAAAGAUUCUCCUUUGUCUCGUUUAACAUGCAUUCACAAUUCGAAAACUUCAAAAAAAAAAAAAUUUAUUCAUAGGAGUUUUUAUUAAAUAAAAAUGCAAAAAAAGAUGUUAGAAAUUUUUUACAUUUCGUAUAACGAAAAUACCAAAAAGAUUUUUCUUUCAUAGUUAAUGAUAUCAUUUUUCUGUGAAGUGACAAAAUGAAAACUCAAAAGAUUUUAUUAACGUGGUUCAUCGUCCGUCUUUGGUUGUAUCUCUUAAAUCAGGGUCUAUCUUGUUAUUUAAUCCUUAAUUGUUCAAUCUGGACGAACUACGGACCCCUGAUUCUCCUCUUUCGGGAGUGAGAUACGUAGCCUAUUGUUGGUUCGGGGAUCUUAUAUGAAAAAAAUCCAAAAAGAUUUUCUUAACUCUUUAUUUAGAGUAAGUGUUUCAUGUACAUCUUUAAAAGAAAACUGCAAAAAGAUUUUCCUUUAAUAGGUUCAGUGUAACACCCUGUAUUUUCAGGCUAGAGUUUAGACCGUCGUUCCUACGUAUAUAGACCCGAACUGAAUUAUUCUUUAUUAACAUAUGUGUGGUAAUCACUCCUAUCGUAAUGCCCCGUAAAAUUCUCGAGUCGAUUUUAUUUUUAGUGUUAAGUUUGAGGGGCUAACAACUAGAAUAUUUUUCUAAGUGUAGAAUUAAGACUUAGAUUUAUUUUUAACUCUUAAUCUUCGGGAUACAACUUUUCAACCUUCCUGACAUCCAUUUUUAGAUUUUAAAGUUGCAUUAUGAUUGGUAAAGCUCAUAGUACGUCUCGGAUAAGUUUCAGAAUUUUUUGGAAUGCAUAAGGCUGCGCUUGGAUUUCAAAACAGUAGCAAAACGCAUAGCCUAUUGCCCAGUUUUCAGCAUUUUAGGGUCAACUUCAAACGAUCAUAACUCUCUGAAUAUAAUGGACUAGGAGAGCUGCUACUUAUCAAAUGAAAUAUAUUUGAGUCUUAUUUCCAAUGCAACUAGUUUCAUCCAAAUCCAAUAGCUGAGUAAUGAGUUAUACCUAUUUUACUUCAGCCUGUCAGCUCGUCAACUGAGGGAUAGUUUCGACUUUGUUUGUUUUCUUAGGGGUAUUUUAGUCAUUUCACCUCACCCAAAUUUAGUAUAUAACAUCAGAUUUAGCCCCCAAUUCAUCAAAAUAUAAUCCUUUUCUCAAAUUUUCUCUCAAGAACACUCCUUAGGGUUUCAAAAUAAAAACCCAAGCAACUCAAAAUUCAACCGUGGGUUUUCAAAACAAAUUGAAGAUUUGGAAUCCCCUUAACGUAGGCUUCAAGAAGCACCUAAUAUUUUCACAUAUAGAGGUACGUGGGGUUAUCCUAAAAUUCUCAUGGGCUUUAAAAAUUCAUGUUUUCAAAUGGGGGUUUUGAAAUUACGAAUAUGAUUAUGUUUUAAAUGUUUUAUGAUAUCGAUUUGGUCUUUAGGCCUAUUCCCAAAGUGUUUUGAUAUAUGAUAUAUGUAUAUGCAUGUAUUCCAAAAAGAUGUUAACUUGAGAGCAUGAAUUAUAUGAAAUCCCUCUCUUGAUAUGAUUUUGUUUAAUAUUUCCAUAUGAUGUGAACUAUUUGAAAUCAUAUUGAAAGGCAUGACAUGAAAUGUUUUGAACAUUGUUAUGAUUUGGGCAUGAUUUUUGACUUACCAUGCGAGGGUUAUCAUGUUGAAAUAUGUUGAAUAAAAUGGUUGCAUGAUAGAAUGAUAUGGCAUUGAUGGCUUGAAAGUCGGGUAUGACGAUACCCUACAGAGUAUGUUAUGUGAUUGAAUUAAUGAAGUUUGAAUGCAUUGAUUUUCAUGAGAAAGGUGGAUACCCGAAGAAGGCGUUUGAGUGCAAGGGCUCAUCGCUGGAAACCGUAGUUGCCGAUGUGGGUUAUAUGAUAUUGUAUCCUACAUGGGAGGAUUAAUAAAAUUAUUUGGGGGAUCUCACAUGGGGGAUUCCCGCGGUGUGCUCACAUGGGGGUAUCACUGGCUCCAAAUCCUAGCGGAUACUUGGAUUGGAGGCUCGGCCGUCGAGCUAAAAGGUGGAUUCCACAUAAACGUGGAAUUACAAAUUGUAAGGUAUUCCACCUAGCUCAAAUACAUUGCAUUGGUGUUGAAAAAUCAUUACAAUAUGCCCAUGUGUUUUCAAAUUAUUUGAUAUGAAACUGCUUUAUAAUAGCUCUCACCUAUAUUUGGUAAAAAUAUUAUAUUUUGUUUUGAUAUCUCUGCGUACCAGUACUUUUGUAUUGACCCCCUUCCUCCCAGGUUCGGAGGCACAGUCUAGGGGUCCAGAAAAUCAGUAGAUUCCUCAGACAGUGUUGCAGAGUCACUUGGUGAGCCUUCUAUAUUUCAGAAGGCCGAAUAUCUGACAGUUUCAUUUAUCAUUUAUUAGUUUUGGGUCUACUGGGGGCCUUGUCCCAGUUUUUCAGAUAGUUAUUUAUUUCAGUCAUGUAGUAGAGAUUUCGUAGACGUUAUCGAGAUGUUGUUUGAGAUUGUGGGACAUUAUUUCCUAUUAUUGCUUUCAUUUGAUUCUUGACCAUGUUUCUGUAUUAUUGUUUAUCUUAUGCAUUUCUAUCAUCAUAUGAAUUAUGUGCAUGAUUACCAAACAAAUAGGGGUGUUUUGGGCAUUCAUGGUUCGAAAUGCUCGUCACGGCUAGGGCCUCAGUUCGGGUCGUGAUAUUCAGGUUUCAUUUUCAUAUGAAAUUUAAAACUGAAACCUCCCCCCUAAAAAAAGAAAAAAAAAAGAAAGAAAACAAAGAGUUCAAUUGGCCAUUUUGGCAAGACUUCACGAACUACGCACACCUGAUUCUCCCCUAUCGGGGGUGAGAUACGUAGGCCCCCUUCUUGGGUUCGGUGAUCUUUUCAAAAAAAAAAAGAGGUUUUGAAAAAGGUUGAAUUCUAACAUAUUUGUUGCCUUUUGUUCAGUUAGUUUAAGGUGGUUGGUUUGUGGCUUCCUGGAUGGUCCUCUAUAUCACACCAAAUCCAAGGAAGGUUUAGUUGUGUCCAACAAGGAUAUAGAGAGUGACACCAUGGAUGAAACAAAGAGUCAGGAAAUUAAGAGUUUAAAAGAAGAUAGAAUUUGAGAUUGAGACAACAAAUGAUGGAAAUGUACCGAGCUUGGGCCAGUGGGCUUCCUCCACCUCCAUUCCCCACUUUUGACCCUGCAAAUACCUUUAGUCUUCCAUCGAAAUCUCAAAGUCAGUUUCCUACUGUUGUUGGUGCCACAGCAUGCCUCAGAAUUCAUUCCACAUCAAAUGCACCUCAAUACUUCCACCAUCUUUCUUUAGCACCUCAGUAUAAGUCGACUACAUUCACAACACCACAUACCGUCUGUGCUUUUGUUGCUCAACCUUCUACUAAGACUUCCACUUUGGCUAUCAAUCCAAUGAUUUUGCUUCCCUAAUCAACUAGUGAAUCCCCGUUCAAUACUCUUGAUGAUCAUUGUUAUACUCUUGAGCCUACCGUUAAAUUAAGUGGACUGCCAGAAUUUCUUACUAAGAAGCCUAGUAUGCUAGAAGAGCUAGAGAAAGUGGUUGGGAAAGUUAAGAGUGUAGAAAAUAAUAUGAAAAAUUCCCCUGGACUUAUGGGCUAUGAAGAUGUUUCAUAUAAAAACUAGGGCAAGUCUUCAAGUGUUAACCUUCCUCCCAGCUUUAAGACAUCAAAAUUUGGGGAGCCUGAUGGACAGAAGGAUUCGAUGAAACAUUUGGGACGACAUUCCAAUCAACCAAGGGAAACUGAAGGAAAGAAGAAGGAAAACGCACCUAUUGUCAUGCCAGGGCCAAAGCAGAGUUUGAGAGGUCCAACCCACCAAUACUAUCAGCCUCAAUCCUAAGCUUACAUAUUAGAUCCACAUAACUAGUUGCAACAAAGUUUCUUUCCCCAAAAUCCAAGAAAUUCCAUUCCACUUCCUUAAUAUCCUUUGAACAAUGCACAAUUGUAUGAUUAUCCAUCUUCUUAUCCACAACGGCAUGCACCUAUACCUCAACAUCAUCCUCGACCCCCACAAAUUUACCAAGGAGCCUCCAAAUCCAAGUUUCAUCCAAGGCCAGAGUUCGCAAAAAGGAGGAAGGAAAAAGAUAAUUUCACUCCUAUUGGGGAAUCCUAUGCCAGUUUAUCCCACAGAUUGGUACAGUAGGGCAUGAUCACUCUUCUCCUUGGGUAUACUUUUGACCCAUAUUCAAGAAGUUUUGAUCCUAAUGUAAGAUGUGCAUAUCAUUCUGAUAUUCAGGGUCAUAGUAUUGAAGAUUUUCGUGCUUUGAAAAGAGAAACUGAAAAGAUGAUUCAAGAUAAAUCAAUUAUGGUGCAGAACAUUGACAAUGAGGAAAGCUCUAGUCAUGAUGAUAUGCAAACCAGUGGUUAAGAUGUCAGAGAAAUUGAGAAGUCACUCCUCCCUACUAGGAAGAGGUCUGGUGGUUUGUUUUGUUUUAUUUUUUGUUAUCCGAAUUAUUUUAGGGUUGUAGUUCGAGAUCUAUCUUGUUUUGUCCCUUUGUUGUUAUGUUCAAACCCUUCUAUCUUUCAUUUUUUUAAAUAAAGUAUCCCAUUUUUCUUUGUGUUUUAAAUAUAUGUUGUUUGUUUGUUUUCUUUACUUAGUACAUUUUAUGUUGACUCUAGUGACAUGGCAUGCUAGUAAAAUUUACAGCCAGAUCUUAAAAUCCAGUUUAAGCAUGAACAUUGAUCAAAGGGUUAAAGUUAGAAAAGAGAGUAUCUGAGAAAAUAGAUAGAGUGUUAGGGCAUUUGGUGAUCAAGUUGAAGCCUUCUUUGAAAAUUAAGGCUAUUAUUUUGAGAAUCGUGAGAAUAACUUGGUCACCAAUUGAAAGACAUAUCUUAAUUAGGUCAAGUAGUGAAUGUGUGAUCCUAUGUCAAAACAAAAAGGAAGAAAAUUAGCUCCACGAAGUCAUGAGUCCUUCAGCAUGAGGAAUGUACAACAAAGUGAAGUUGUAUGUUGGGCAAGUGUAGAAAAAGAGGUGGAACACAUGCUCGGGGAAAGUUAGUGUUGUAAAAUAUUUCAUAAGUGAUCUUGAUCGUGCACUUUCGUAUUGCAUGCUAUGUACUAGCAGUCCAUACCUCUACUUCCUUAGAGGUAGAGGUAUGGACUGCAUACAUCUUACCCCCCCCCCAGACCCCACUAGGUGGGAAUACACUGGGUUUGUUGUUGUUGUUGUUGUUGUUGUUGUUGUUGUUGUUGAUAUUACGAAGGCAUUUCAUUCUGCUAUCCAAACAUUGUGUCAUCUUUUGUUUACCCCAUUUGGGACUUAGUGUUAUUAUAUUUCAUACCCCUCUUUUGGAAUCAAGAUAGAGUCAAUAAAAUUCAAAAAAAAAUGUGUCGAAAAAGGAAGAAAAAAUGAGUGUCAAGAAAAAUAAAGUCAGAAAAGUCCCAAAGAGAAAAAGAGUCAACAAAAGAAAAAAAAUAGAAUCAAGUGAAAGAACAAGAUUCCAGAACUACACAUGGCCUGAUUCUCCUCUUUCGGGAGUGAGAAACAUAGGCUACCCUACUCGGGGCUCGGUCCAACCAAAUAAACAAUUUAGAAUUGCCCAGUCAAAAGAAACUGGGGCAUAAGUUAAUCCUCAUUGUUUAAGUCGAUUCCAAAAGUUGCAAGUCCUACCCCACUUUGAGUGUUGUUUGGGCCUCAUGUCAUCCUUUUUUUCUAACCUUAUCCAAAAAUAAGUUACAAUCAAAGAAAGUCCUUCAGAUCAAUCUUUGAUAAUAUUAAGGCUAAGCAUGCAAUGGAUAUGAUAUGCAUUUUGGGGUACUACUUGUCUUCCUUAGAAUAAGAAAUCAGGAAAGAAAUAAAAAUAAGAGAGUCUUAUUGGUGAAAUCCCCACGGGCCCCAUAAGAUGAUGGUAAGUUGAGAGAGAUAAAAUGAGAGGGUCUUAUCAGUGAAAACCCUCACGAACACUGUAAGACGACUGUGAGUUGAGAGAAAUGAAAAUAAGAUUAAUCUUAUUGGUGAAAAACCCUCUCGGAUACCAUAAGGCAAUGGUGAGGUGAUAAAAAGAAAUGAGAGAGGCUUGUUGGCGAAAAUCCUUCAAGGCACCACUAGCUGAAUGAGGUCUCUAAAUACAAUUAACUCAACAACAAUUUGUGAGAGUUUUGGAUGGAAAGAUCAGGCAGCUUUAUCCAAAAUGCAUGGCAUAAUCAUUAGAGUUCACUGUUAUUUUUAAAUAAAUUUUUGUUUCUUUGUUUCAAAAGGGGACAUUCAUUGUCUUUUCUUUCUUCUGUUUAUUUUUGUUUUAUUUUUCUUGAGUCAGUCAUCCAAAUAAAAAUUAUCAUUCUUUUUCUUUUCUUGUCUUUGAGUCAAGUCUGUGUCAAAACAAGUUAGAAAAGAUUACAAAACUAUCUACAAGCUUAUUUAAUUGCACAAAGCAAGACAAAAGUUAACACAUGAAAAAGACAUGAUUGUGAGCCGAAAAAAGGGGCAUGCAUAAAAUUUUGUCAAUAGACAAGUUGGGGAACUCAUGGAAAUACCAAGUUUCAAAGGGUCUAUCUGAGAAGCAUGGCAAAGUAGAGAUACUGUGUUUGUUUUAGAGUCACUAUUAAUAAUUUGAGUUCGGGUUAAUGAAGCAGCAAGUCAAUGGCAUAUGCUAAUGGUUGGAAGUAAGGUUAAAUGUGACGAGGGAAAGAAAAAUCACCACGAAAGCCAAAGCCACAAACCAGCCAUCUUGCUUUUAAACUCUCAACUUUUCUUUGCAUGAAACAGGAACACAUGUUACCUUCAAAUCAAGGAUUUCAAAGCCUAAACAUCAAGGCCCGUAAUUUCUCGCUUUUACAAAUGCAGGAAGCAAUAUUGCUGCACAGGUUUGAUAAUUAAAUCAUGGUAAAAAUUCAUCAUCUUAUAUCCCUUGGAGACACACUUUCUUGUCCAGGGAUUUCAGUUUUCAUUUGCUGAGUGAUACACUUCUUAAAUUGAACCUUGACCCCUAUAAGACGUACCUUUUAGUCGAGUCAUCCCCUUUGACUCCUAUAAGACGUACCUUUUAGUCAAGUCGUUCCUUUGAUUCCUAUAAGACGUACGUUUUAGUCGAGUCAUUCCCUUUGAUUCCUAUAAGACAAACCUUUUAGUUGAGUCAUCUCCCUUGAUUCCUAGAAGACGUACCUUUUAGUCAAGUCGUUCCUUUGAUUCCUAUAAGACGUACCUUUUAGUCGAAUUAUCCCCCUUGGUUCCUAUAAGACGUACCUUUUAGUCGAGUCAUUCCCUUUGAUUCCUAUAAGACGUACCUUUUAGUCGAGUCAUCUCCCUUUGAUUACUAUAAGUCAUACCUUUUAGUCGAGUCAUUCCCUUUGAUUCUUAUAAGGCAUACCUUUUAGUCGAGUCAUCUCCCUUUGAUUCCUAUAAAACGUACCUUUUAGUUGAGUCAUAUCCCUUAGAUUCCUAUAAGACGUACCUUUUAGUCGAUUCAUCCCUUGGAUUACUAUAAGACGUAAAUUUUAGUCGAGUCAUUCCACUUGACCCAUAGAAGACGUACCUUUUAGUUGAGUCAUUCCCUUUGACCCCUAGAAGACGUACCUUUUAGUCAAGUCAUUCCUUGUGAUUCCUAUAAGACGUACCUUUUAGUCAAUUCAUUUCCUUUGAUUCCUAUAAGACGUACCUUUUAGUGGAGUCAUUCCCUUUGAUUUCUAUAAUGAUGUGACUUUCACAAAAUUCCUUUGAUGAUAAGCUAGGGCAAAAUUUAAUUCUUGUGUUUGGAACUUCACUUUUAUGGCAAAUGAAACCUCUUUAUAAUAAUCUUUGUUGGGAGAAUUUUCUUUUUAGUUUUGAUGUGAUUUCAGGAGCCCUCCUGGAGAACAGGAUGAAGAAAUGAAAAGUCAAGCAACAAAGUGAAGAAGUUGAAAGUCAAGCAACAACAUGAAAAGUUGAAAGUUAACAGAUUGAAAAAUAGCAAGUCAGGAGCCCGCCUGAAGAAUAGGGUAAAGAAAUUGAAAUUUAAGCAAUGAGGUGAAACAAUUGAAAGACAAACGACAAGUUGAUGAACUUGCAAAUCAGGAGCCCGCCUGAAGAAUAGGGUAAGGAAAUUACAAGUCGAGAUCCCGCCUGAAGAACAGGGUGAUGACAUGGCAAGUCAGAAGCCCGCCUGAAGCACAGGGUGAAUAAAUGGAAAGUUAAGCAACAAGGUGAAGCAAUUGAAGACCAAGCAACAAGUGAUGGAAUUGCAAGUCAGGAGCCCGGCUAAAGAAUAGGGUGAUGAAACUUAAGUCAGGAGUCCAACAGAAGCUGUAUAGAUAGGAUUUUGUAAUUUCAUUUUUGUUUUUACUUGUAAUUUUCAUUUUGAUGUAAUGACAGACUCGCGGAACGGAACCUCAAUGGCACCUCACUCGACUCUCCAACUCGGUAUAGUCCAUUUCCUUCCAAUCCUUUGAGAUGCGUGUCAACUGAUUCCUUCAUAACUUGGGUAGGUAGGAUGUCCUAAGUCAAGAUCCGGUUGCUCUUCUUCCUUCUGUUUCUUUCCUUAAAUAAUGGUCGGGUCAAAAUUUAGUCUCGUUAUCUACUUCUUUGUCUGAAAAUACUUCGUGUUUACAUUCAAAGGGGGCAUGAUGUAGACACCUAAUUUUGUUCCUCCGAAAAAUUAGUGUUCUUAUUUUUUACUUUAUCUUAUCGUGUACCCUCACCCAUGUAAUUAUACCCCACAAAAGUACAAAAUAACAAAAAUUCAAUAAAUCCCUAACCUUAUCCUAACAAACUUUAUCCUAUACCCUACCACCUAACCCACGUCAACCCCCCUUAAACUCAUUCACAUAUUUUUCUCAUCUUUUCUAUAACAAAAAGGAAGGAAACAAAAAAAAGGGCCCCCACAGAAGAUGUCGUAUCCCUGACUAUUUUAUCAUAUACAAUCUAUAAACACCUUCUUCUCACAGAAAUGAGGGGACCUUCAUAUACCUUCAUGGAAUGAAAUAAGGGGAACCCAUAUGCAUACAAGACCUUCCCAGAAUACCCACCCAUACACAAAAUUUUCCACCCAGCAACAUGAUUGAACAGACAUACCCUUUUCUUCAUACAUCAAUACACACACAUAAGGUAUAAAAUGAAAAAGGAGAUACUCAAUCACUUGAUUCUCUUUGAUUCACCACCGUACACCUAUAUACUACACUCAGAAAUCUCGCACACACACACAUCAAAUAGAGAGAUGGGUGGAGAGUAGCAAAAGGAGAGAGACUAGAUCAAGAGGCACUGCUGGUUAGCACUUUCAGGCGACUGAUUUGGUCAUUUUCUGUUUCUACGGGCUAAAAAUCCACUAUGGUCCAAAUACAUCCUAAAAUCCCUCUAUUCCUCUUUGAUUUCUGAGUUGGAUCCGGUUGGAAAACAACAAGGUUCGUUGAAAACCGUCUCGGGUUGUCGUUCUCUACUUUCGUCUGAGCUCAUCAAAGCUGAAGCCACAUUUUUUAGUCUUUCUGAGUCUUCGGGUUCGUCUUCUUUGUGGUUCAUUUUUGAUACUGCGCAUUGGGGUUUUUUGGGUUUGUCUGAUUUUGUAUUCUGUCCCCGGGAUCGAGCUUUGGGGAUUCAUCGAUUUUGUUCCUGUUUUGGGGUUUUAUUCUUGGUUGAAAUCAUAUCAGUUGGUACUCUUGGAUUAUUGGUUUGGUGAGUUCAUCGUUGGGGUUCCGUGUUGGAGGCUUUCGGUCUCGGACUUCUUUAUUAUCUACGAGAACGUUUUAUUGAGGUCCAUUUCUUUAACCCGUUCUCUUCUUCAUUUUGAUUGGUUGCAUUGGCUAUGGUUACGUGUUGGUUGAUUAUGAUGACUUGAUUUCAUUGAUAUGAUUUUGUUGUUUAAAUUCAUUACUAAAAUGAGCAUGGAUUGUUGAAAUGGUGAUUGCUAUUUGUGGCGUUUAGAAUGGAUUUGGG
rnacentral:lncRNA from 1 species